rnacentral:rRNA from 1 species
GUCCAUGGCCAUGCUACCCUGAACAAGCCCAAUCCCGUUUGAUCUUGGAAGCUAAGCAGGGUCAGCCCUGGUCAGUACUUGGAUGGGAAACCGCCUAGGAAGUCCAGGUGCUGUAGGCC